GGUUCGAUCCUGCCCAGAUUGAACGCGGAUGUUUACACAUGCAAGUCGAACGGCAGCACGGACUUCGGUCUGUGGCGAGUGGCGAACGGGUGAGUAAUGUAUCGGAACGUGCCUAGUAGCGGGGAUAACUACGCGAAAGCGUAGCUAAUACCGCAUACGCCCUUCGGGGGAAAGCGGGGACCUUCGGGCCUCGCACUAUUAGAGCGGCCGAUAUCGGAUUAGCUAGUUGGUGGGGUAACGGCUCACCAAGGCGACGAUCCGUAGCUGGUUUGAGAGGACGACCAGCCACACUGGGACUGAGACACGCCCAGUGACUCCGGCGAGGCAGCAGUGGGGACUGGGAUACCGGGGAAACUCCUGAUCCAGCCAGUCAUCCCGCGUGUGCGAUGAAGGCCUUCGGGUUGUAAAGCACUUUUGGCAGGAAAGAAACGGCACGGGAUAAUACCCCGUGCAACUGACGGGUACCUGCAGAAUAAGCACCGGCUAAUCACGUGCCAGCAGCCGCGGUAAUACGUAGGUGCAAGCGUUAAUCGGAAUUACUGGGCGUAAAGCGUGCGCAGGCGGUUCGAGAAAGAUGUGAAAUCCCAGAGCUUAACUUUGGAACUGCAUUUUUAACUACCGAGCUAGAGUGUGUCAGGGAGGGAGGUGGAAUUCGCGUGUAGCAGUGAAAUGCGUAGAUAUGCGGAGGAACACCGAUGGCGAAGGCAGCCUGGGAUAACACUGACGCUCAUGCACGAAAGCGUGGGGAGCAAACAGGAUUAGAUACCCUGGUAGUCCACGCCCUAAACGAUGUCAACUAGCUGUUGGGGCCUUCGGGCCUGGUAGCGCAGCUAACGCGUGAAGUUGACCGCCUGGGGAGUACGGUCGCAAAGAUUAAAAAUCCCAACGGAAUUGACGGGGGAUUCGGCACAAGCGGUGGAUGAUGUGGAUUAAUUCGAUGCAACGCGAAAAACCUACUCACCCUUGACAUGUCUGGAAUCCCGAAGAGAUUUGGGAGUGCUCAAGAGAACCGGAACACAGGUGCUGCAUGGCUGUCGUCAGCUCGUGUCGAGAUGUUGGGUUAAGUCCCGCAACGAGCGCAACCCUUGUCAUUAUUACAUGAAAGGGCACUCUAUCGAGACUGCCGGUGACAAACCGGAGGAAGGUGGGGAUGACGUCAAGUCCUCAUGGCCCUUAUGGGUAGGGCUUCACACGUCAUACAAUGAGUCGGGACAGGUCGCCAACCCGCGAGGGGAGCCAAUCCCAGAAACCCGAUCGUAGUCCGGAUCGCAGUCUGCAACUCGACUGCGUGAAGUCGGAAUCAGCUAGUAAUCGCGGAUCAGCAUGUCGCGGUGAAUACGUUCCCGGGUCUUGUACACACCGCCUGUCACACCACAUGGAGUGGGUUUUACCAGAAGUAUAAAUUAACCGUAAGGAGUGGCGAUUAUCACUUAGAUUCAUGACUGGGUGCCGUAACAAGGUAGCUCAUUACCUGAUGCUCCCAAGGCUGCAACUGA
rnacentral:rRNA from 1 species